rnacentral:rRNA from 1 species
ACACUUCUGCUCAGGACGAACCGCCGGGCGGGCGUGCCUUAAUACCAUGCCAGUUCGAGCCGGACCUGGAUUGGAAGCUUGCUUCUGAUUUCGGUUCAGCGGCCGGACGGGUUGAGUAACCACGUGGGGCAACCUGCCCGCCAAGACCCGGGAUAAAUUCCGGGAAACCGGAAGCUAAUUCCGGAUAACCCCGAAGGACCGCCUGGUUCUUGGUUGAAAGGCGGCCUCUAGCUGUCACUUGCGGAUGGGCCCGCGGCGCAUUAGCUAGUUGGUGAGGUAACGGCUCACCAAGGCGACGAUGCGUAGCCGGCCUGAGAGGGUGACCGGCCACACUGGGACUGAGACACGGCCCAGACUCCUACGGGAGGCAGCAGUAGGGAAUCUUCCGCAAUGGGCGAAAGCCUGACGGAGCGACGCCGCGUGAGCGAAGAAGGCCUUCGGGUCGUAAAGCUCUGUUGUGAGGGACGAAGGAGCGCCGUUCGAAGAGGGCGGCGCGGUGACGGUACCUCACGAGGAAGCCCCGGCUAACUACGUGCCAGCAGCCGCGGUAAUACGUAGGGGGCGAGCGUUGUCCGGAAUUAUUGGGCGUAAAGCGCGCGCAGGCGGUUCCUUAAGUCUGAUGUGAAAGCCCACGGCUCAACCGUGGAGGGUCAUUGGAAACUGGGGGACUUGAGUGCAGGAGAGGAGAGCGGAAUUCCACGUGUAGCGGUGAAAUGCGUAGAGAUGUGGAGGAACACCAGUGGCGAAGGCGGCUCUCUGGCCUGCAACUGACGCUGAGGCGCGAAAGCGUGGGGAGCAAACAGGAUUAGAUACCCUGGUAGUCCACGCCGUAAACGAUGAGUGCUAAGUGUUAGAGGGGUCACACCCUUUAGUGCUGCAGCUAACGCGAUAAGCACUCCGCCUGGGAGAGGG